CCCUUUCCCCCCCCCUCCCCUCCCCUUACCCCGGCACCCCACCAUGAGCAACCUCAACAAGGACACCGAGCACACCAACGGCAGCGGUAACGUCGAGGAGGAGGUACGGACACUGUUUGUCAGUGGCCUUCCUGUGGAUAUCAAGCCCAGAGAGCUCUACCUACUCUUCCGACCAUUCAAGGGUUAUGAAGGGUCACUGAUCAAGCUAACUUCAAAGCAGCCAGUUGGUUUUGUGACCUUUGACAGCCGGGCUGGUGCUGAAGCAGCAAAGAACGCCUUGAAUGGCAUCCGCUUUGACCCGGAGAACCCCCAGACCUUGCGGUUAGAGUUUGCUAAAGCCAACACAAAGAUGGCCAAGAGCAAGCUGAUGGCCACGCCAAACCCCACCAAUAUCCACCCUGCCUUGGGCGCACACUUCAUUGCACGGGACCCCUAUGACCUGACUGGAGCGGCUCUUAUUCCAGCGUCCCCAGAAGCGUGGGCUCCCUACCCACUGUACACCACGGAGCUAACCCCUGCCAUCCCCCAUGCCGCCUUCACGUACCCGGCGGCCGCUGCAGCGGCCGCUGCUCUUCACGCUCAGUGAACUCCAGCCAUGAUGCCAGCGCAGGCUAGCCCUGAAGCUCAGAGCUGUCCCUGGAGAUGGGACACCCUAGUGAUGCCUUAUUGCAGCUAGUGGAGUGGCUGUACUACAGCUCCAUUCCUAGAAGUGUUAAGCAUGAUGGCAGCCACGUCUGGAAAGACUGAUGCGCUGGUAUCCUCCCUCUGAAGCUACCCAGCAAGGAUGGAAGUCUCGUCAGUUUUGUUAGUUCAUUAGUAAGUAAUUAAUUACUCUUGGAGCCGGGUCCUUGUCCUGCUUGUCCCUGGGCUCUUGUGGGGAGGAGGGAUGGGAGCUCGGGCUCAGCCUCCUGCAUCCACCCAAGGAUGUGGUUGGGUUACAUUGAUGGGUGAUGGAGCCAAAUCCACCCCGGUGGGAGCAGGGAGACCCACCAAGCCCCAGGGUGGGAAAGGAGCUGUGGGUGCCGCUCAGGGAGUGGAUCCAGCCAGCCCCACUCACCGCUGCUCCUCUUCCGCAGCGUCUCUCCUCGGCUUGUGUUCCUCCUCCCUGCCUCUCCACGGAGGGAUGUGCCAGGGACGAUCGCUCAGACUCCUCUCGGUUUGGUUUGUGGCCAGCGGACAAGGCGCCUGGCCCCUGUGCGCUCCCCCCCUCCCCGACCCCGGGGCUGCCAGCAUCCCCCAUCCCCAGACUGUGAAGCUGCCGCGGCCCCUGCCAUGGGCUGUGUGCUGCCUCCAUCCAUCCUUCCAUCCCUCCCUCCCUCCCUCCAUCCCCAGGACAUCCUCCCCGACUGAGCUUCGCCGUCCGGCUGUGCCGAAACCCAGCUGGGGGGCUCGGUCCUGGACUUCCCCGAGCUCGCCCUGCCCCGGUAGCUCGGCUGAAGGAAAUGAAAGGCAAUGGGUUUUGCAUGUUUUCUGGCAUGAAUUAAAACACUUAACUUGUGUAUGUGUGAGUGUAAGUUUGUUUGUUCUAGCGUUUGUGUAACCGUUAGCAACAGGUCUUGGCCCAAUGGAUUGAUCCAUCAAGGUUUUCAUCUUGCUUCGGUGAAGACUUGGCUUUGAGAAAUACUAACUGUCCUUGUCUCACCCCUUCUCCCACCUCUGCCCUCCCAUUCCCAGUACAACCAGAAAAAUUUGAAAAAUGUUUUUUUUUUUUCUUUCUUCCAAGUAUGAUGCACUGGGUUUCUGUUCUCAUCCAUUCUUCUCUGGUUUUAAAGUCAGGGUUAUUAUAUUGUUGGUUUUUUUUCUUCAGACUUCUAUAUAUAGAAUAGCUGUAAAAUAUCUAACCUCUUUUUUUUCCACAUCUUUCUGAUUGGAGAGCAUCCAGUCCUGCCAAAUAAUCAGCCAUCCUUAUGGGAAUACCGAACAAAAAAAAAAGUACGAGUAUUUUUGUACCAUGUGUAAUAAGGAAAUAUUUAUGCAUCAUAAAGAAUUUCUUGUGUGUUCGUGUGCAAUUAAUAAUUAUUAUUAUUAUUAAAGAGAAAUUGUAAUCCUGUAAGAUAAUGUUUAGUUAAAAGCUUGAAAGAGAAGGGUUGUCUUCUGUAACAAUGAUUCAGUCAGGCAUAGUAAACAAGAAAUUGUGCAAUUUUUGUUUUAGCAUCUUAUUGCUUGGUAUUGAAGUGCUUUAAGUAUUAUACGACCAUGGCUGUCUCGCUUGUAUUAAAAGAUUUGAGAAUAAGUUGCUAUAUAAUUGCUGAUCCUAUGAGAAUGUGAAACUGGAUAAUAUAUGAAAUGCAACAACAACAAAAAAUAUACCCAGAGGCUGCUGUGACUCUU